CACGUCACUCUCUCAUUCUCUUUCAUACGACACAUUUCUCUAUUUUCUUCAUAUUUCAACUGUUCGGAUGGUGAUGUUGUCUUAUUUUGUGAAUGGCCGGGUGUUUUAUUGUGUUUUAGCUCUGGUUGAUGUUACAGCGCGCAAGAAACGCAACAGGAGCCGCAGCAGAAAAAAACACAGAAAAGUUCCGAAAGACACUCGAGUAACACACGCGCGGGUACGAGCACACAACAGUCCCCGACCCGGCGUCGCUUUUGGAUCAUUUCUGAUAAAACUGUUUGGAUCGGUGUGUCUUACCUGCUGUAGUAGCUCAUGUUUAUCCGCCGUUGCUAUGGAUUCGUCCGCUGCUGCAGCGUCGCGUCCCUGUGAGCAAAACCCGCUGCGGCCGCGACUCGUAUGCGCAUGCGCGGACAGGCGCCGAUAAACGUACCUUCCAUAAGGGGCGCUCGAUGGCCCAGACCGCCAGUAGUUAGUCGGUCAUUCGACCGCAGCGAAAGCUCUAGAGUUUUUGUUUGUUUUAGAAGAGAUGUGUACACUAAAGGUUAUAAACUGUUUAACGAUGUUUAUAUAGUUGAGUGCAUCCCAAUUCAGGAGCUGGGUCAUUAUUUGUGGUGUGAAACCAGCAGAAACAGAAUGUACCAGAACCUCAGGAGUUUAAGCACAAGCCAAAACAGGUUUGUGGAGAAUUACAUUGCACAACUGACGCUGUCAAAGAAUCCACAGACAAGUAAAUGAUUAUGACUAUUUUGGUCAUCAAAUCCAGCCUGGAAAUCAGAAAUCAUCCUCACAGCGAGAGUGACGGGUCAGAAACUUGUAUUAGGAGCUCUAUCUUUAUUUCUGUCAACGUCAAACCUUUGCUUAUAAAGAUAUAUAUAAGAUUUUAUUUAUUGUGGACAACAGCCGUUAAGACAGCUCACUAUGAUCUGAAAAAGAGGCUUACUGUAUCUUAUCUCUGACUGAGAUCUAUUUCUGUUAUGUCCUUACAGAAACACAUAGUAACUUUCAGUAAGCUGCACAGUGUCUCGAAGAUUCAUAUUUAUUUAAAGCUUUGUUGAGAAUAAAAUGCAUGGGAUUAUAGCACACGACAUGCACUUGUUUUUGUAUUCUGUGUGCAGUAUGUAUGCAUGCAUGCAGUUCUACACAAUAUAUACAACUGCUUGUUUUUUUAGUAUUUGCAUAUUAUAAAAAUGUUUACAAUGGUAUAUUUUGAAAAGUAACAUUUAUUCUUUAAUCAUUUAUUCUUCCACCCAUAUUAGAUGCAAUCUUUACCAUUUCCAGGUAGUCAAUCCUGACAGGCAGUCAACUCCAUUCUGAUAAGUGUUUGUGGUGAUUUUGCUUAAAGACAUUAACAUGUAUUCACAUGUUGAGCUGCAGGGGUGUAAGUGUUCACUUAAAGAAAUGCAUUUGAAUUAACUGGGCAGGCUGCAAAUGAUUAUAUGUUUGCUGAGAUUUAAAGUUAUCUGUUUAUCC